GAUGAACGCUGGCGGCGUGCCUAAUACAUGCAAGUCGAGCGAACAGACGAGGAGCUUGCUCCUUCGACGUUAGCGGCGGACGGGUGAUUAACACGUAGGUAACCUACCUAUAAGACUGGGAUAACUUCGGGAAACCGGAGCUAACACCGGAUAAUAUUGCGAACCGCAUGGUUCUAUAGUGAAAGAUGGCUUUGCUAUCACUUAUAGAUGGACCUGCGCCGUAUUAGCUAGUUGGUAAGGUAACGGCUUACCAAGGCAACGAUACGUAGCCGACCUGAGAGGGUGAUCGGCCACACUGGAACUGAGACACGGUCCAGACUCCUACGGGAGGCAGCAGUAGGGAAUUUUCCGCAAUGGGCGAAAGCCUGACGGAGCAACGCCGCGUGAGUGAUGAAGGUCUUCGGAUCGUAAAACUCUGUUAUUAGGGAAGAACAAACGUGUAAGUAACUGUGCACGCGUUGACGGUACCUAAUCAGAAAGCAACGGCUAACUACGUG
rnacentral:rRNA from 1 species